AGGUAUAGCCGGUUGAACCACUUCACGCCAUCGCUGUCGGGCAAAGCGCGGUCGAGCGCGGUCAUGAUGUCAACGACAUCCUCGAUCGUCUUGGCGCGGCGCCCGGCGACCAGCUCAGCGAGCAUGGCCGGACCGUCGACGGGAGGAUUUGCGAAAUGUUCGCUUCCGCCGAAUCUUUGCAGCGCCGGCCUCGGCUCCACUCGACUGUGCGGGCGCGCGUCCCGCCAGCUCGGCCAGGCGUCCGAGCAGCCGCUCCGUGGCUGCCGCCUCGGCGGCGUUUGCGCGCUGUUUGUAUUUCAGCAGCACAAACGACGCGUUAUCCAGCACCGAGGCCCACCGUUUUGGUGCGUUCACACGGCUGUAGUGAUCCUCAAAGUCGCUGACGAGCCGCCCGAUGUCUCUGGCCAGCGUCCCUGCAAAGAGUGAUGCGUACAUCUUCAGCUCGGUCUGCCCUACGACCGACCAGAAAUCGACAGGGGCGGCGUGCAUGGCCCGUUGGACGAUCGCGAGCGUGUCCCGGUCGGUCGCGCCUCGUGACAUACCUCCUUCAAGUGCCAGCUGUGCGGCGAUCCGGUUCAUCGCGGGAUAGAACAGGUUUGCCCUCCCUGUCGCGCCCGCGAUCUGCUCUGCGGCCGCGUAGUGGUCCCGCAUCUUCGCGAUGGCUGCGAGUUCUUCAUUGACGCGUCCUUCGGCUGCCCCAAUCAACGCGAGGCGCUUGUAGGCAGACCCGUAGAGGCUCUGGCGCUCGACGGUUGCCCCAACCGAGAGCAACGAGUCGAGGAGGGCCAUCGCCUCAGCAAUCUCGCGGCGAGCGCUCGCCCGGGAAGUCUUGUCGCCGGCGUUCGACUUCUCUACUUGCUGCCAGGCGCGGCGCACUUUCGCAUUCGCGAGCUGCUCGACGGCCGCCAGCGACGCUGUGCCAUCCGGCGCAAGCCGGGCACGGUCGUACCACUCGAUCGCCUUGU
rnacentral:misc_RNA from 1 species